GUUGGUUACUGUGAGGAUAAGGAAGAGUGAGGAUAAGCUCCUAGAGGAGCUGCCUACAAGAAACAUCUAGGAGGACUGCCUCAAGGAUCUGACAAGAGGAAUUGAGUGUGCUGCCAAGAUAUUAAAUGAAAUUCCCCAGAAAGAUAUUCAGAGCACUAAAAGAGCCUCAAAGGCAAAAAGGGAAGGAAAUGGGCAAGCUCUCUGCUAAAGAUUUCCCUGGAGGAGAACCAUGAACAUGGGACUGUACUAGAAGUGAUGAAAGUCCUUUGAGCUUGUGCUCCAGGACAGGACAACGAGGGACACCUGGGACUACCUCUGUUUUGAUCCUGAUAUCAAGAUCAUGGGAAACAUCACUUGGAGUGAGUGCAUCUGAUAGAAACUGGGUUCAGAAACAGGACUUUUAUUCCAAUGAACAAACAAAUAACAGCAUGGAUAGCAGCUCAUGCAGUUUGGUGAGAGAAGUUUUGAUUGCUGUUUUCAUAUUGCUUGUUAAAGAAGUAUAUAAAGCAACCUCAUGCUUUCAGUUAUUUGAGUAAAAAUGAAUGGAGUAAGUUUUCAAACCCUACUGGUUUUUUUAAGAGUUGCUUUUUCUUUUCCUUGCUUUGCCCCCUCUUGCUGCUGUCUGUAAGGUGGUAGAGAUGGAAGUGGUUCCCCCAUCCUCAGCUGUUGCAUGCAAGCCCUACUCUAACUCUGACAAGUUCAACCUCUUGGGUUGUACCAUCCUGUGUUGUUUUUAAAAUCUGUUUGUUGACUACCCAGGAUUUGUAACCAAAAUUCAGGAGCCUGCUUUUAAACUGCAGUACGAUACACUGUGGAAUUGGUACUGCAUUGCAAUGUGCCCACACUUUGGAGACCAGCUGGCCUUC